GGGGAUGGAAGUAGGGGAUGCUGAUGGAUGGGCCUCUCUAGCCAAUACCCAACCAGCUGGGGGGAGUUGGGGAGGGAAGAGCCCCAGCUGCUGUUCCUGCCCCACUUUGGGGGACUUUGUGAGAUUUCAAGGCCAUAUGGGCUGCCUCGAACUGUGGGCUGAGGAGAGGCUGGACUGGAGUGGGGAGACCAUUAGGAGAGUCCCAGGGAGGGAGACCGAGAGCCUGAUUCAGCAUGGAGACCAUGCGAGUGGAGUAGCUUCAAGAUGUAUCCAAGAUGAGGAAACUGAGGCAGAUGGGGUUGAGUGACUUACCCAAGUUUACACCACUUGUGUCUGAGGCAGCAUUUGAACUCAAGAAGAUGACCAUCUUCUUGCCUAGCACUCUGUGCAGUAUGGCAACAUGGAGCAGGCCAGAAGCUGUGUAGCUCACACCUUCAUUUUAUAAAGAAGGAAAACAAGGCCUCAAAACAUCAAGAAACUGGCACAAGACCUCCAAGUCAACUCAAUUCAAUGAGAUAAACAUUUAAAGAAUCUGCUAUGAGCCAGGCACUACGUGAAGCACUGGGGAUAGAAAUUUAAAAGAAAGAAAAGAAAAAAGACAAUCCUCGUCCUUAAGGGACUAAUGAAGGAAAACAACCCACAAAGGCAGCUGGAAGGGGCAGAGGACACCGGAGGGUACCCAGCAUGAGGGGAUCAUAUUCUGUGUAAUCAAAGUAAGUAGAGUUGCAGGUGCUGGAAAGUCCAAAUUCCUGCCCUCUCCAAAAGCCUCUAAUCAGAGAAGAGAGAACUGAGGAAAUUAGGGAAGUGGCGAGUAUCCAGAAUUGAGUUAAAUAGCAUGAAGAUGAGAUUUCAGGUGAUCAGGGAGAUGAGCAAUAGCAGGAGGAUUUGAACUCAGGUCCUUUGACUCCAAAUCCCUCAUUUUUUCCACCUCCUCCUGAAACCUCUUAUUUUCUGACUCCAAAGGGCUUUCACUUGCCCUCAGCUAGUUAUGGUCUAAUCCUCAUGAAACGCAGGAUGGUAGAAGUGGUAAGAACUUGACCGUGGAGAAAUUCUUCUUUGAGUUUCUGACUUCAAGAGAGGAUGCCUUCUUCAUGCAAGCAUGGGAGAGCACCAAGCAAUCCCUUUUCUAGCCCAGAAAGGAAAAUCUUAUGCAAAUAGCCAGGCUUGAAACAUGGGUUACACUUAGAUCAAGUUUCCCGAGCUUUGCCUUUUUGGUGUGAUCUUUAGGUUAGGAAUCAAAAGUGCAAAUGGAGUCUUUUCCCCCAAGUAUUCCCAGAAGAUUUUGGUUUGGAAGCAUCCUCUGCCACUAAGUGCCUGUAAAACCUCAGGUAAUCCAUUUCCCUUAUCUGGGCCUCAACUUCUUUCCCUGUAAAAUGAAGUGGUUGGACACAAUGAACUUCUAAGGUCCUUUCAGGCUCUAAAUCUUUCCAACGUGUUUCCUGAUAAGUCGACUACAAGAUAAAAUAUGAUUAAAUAAUCCCCUCCAGGAGACAGAUCUCCCUGGAUUUAGAAAUCAUAGUCUGUCCCAUCUCCAAAUGAGAAUCCUGUCAACAACAUCUCUUAGCAAGACGUCGUCCUGCCUUUUGCUUGGAGAUCUCCAGAGACGAAGAACUCACUACCCUUCAAAACAGACCAUUUCCAUUUUCUACAGCUUUGAUUAUUAGGAAGUUUUCUCUGUUGACAAGCCCAAAUAUGCCUCUUUGCCCUUCUCCUGGUACUUUACCAUGUUUUUGGUUCUGACCUGUGGGACCAAAGAGAACAAAUGUUAUCCCUCUUCUAUAUGGCUUAAAUAGCUCUUGAGCCCCCAAGUCUUCUCCAGACUGAAUGCGUCUAGUCCUAUGGCAUGAACUUGAAGCCUUUCACCAUGCUGACAUCCUUAUCUGGAUCCUUAUCUCCAGCUUAUCAGAAUGGGAUGCCUAGAAUUGAACACAAAACCCCAGAGGUGAUCUAACCAGCGUAGGCUCCUUCCCAAGCCGGCAGUAGUUUUUUUUGGCUGUCCUAUCAAUGCUGGCCACUAAAACCCUCAGAACUUCAGACAAACUCUCUCUCAAAGACUUCCUCCAUCUUAUCUUUGAGAAGUUGAAAUACAUUUUUGAACCCAAGUAUAAAUAAAAAUUUGUAUUUCUCCCCCCGUCA
ensembl:lncRNA